UACAGAGGGUGCGAGCGUUAAUCGGAAUUACUGGGCGUAAAGCGCGCGUAGACGGUUUUGUAAGUCAGAUGUGAAAUCCCUGGGCUCAACCUGGGAACUGCAUUUGAGACUGCAUGGCUAGAGUAUCGAAGAGGGAAGUGGAAUUUCCGGUGUAGCGGUGAAAUGCGUAGAUAUCGGAAGGAACACCAGUGGCGAAAGCGACUUCCUGGUCGAAUACUGACAUUCAUGUGCGAAAGCGUGGGGAGCAAACAGG
rnacentral:rRNA from 1 species